CAUGAACGCUGGCGGCGUGCCUAACACAUGCAAGUCGAGCGGCAGCGAGGGGUGCUUGCACCCUGUCGGCGAGCGGCGGACGGCUGAGUAACGCGUGGGAACGUGCCCCAAAGUGAGGAAUAACUGCCCGAAAGGGUAGCUAAUACCGCAUAUUAUCUUCGGAUCAAAGGAUUUAUCCGCUUUGGGAGCGGCUCGCGUCGGAUUAGGUAGUUGGUGAGGUAAUGGCUCACCAAGCCGACGAUCCGUAGCUGGUCUGAGAGGAUGACCAGCCAGACUGGAACUGAGACACGGUCCAGACUCCUACGGGAGGCAGCAGUGAGGAAUCUUCCACAAUGGGCGAAAGCCUGAUGGAGCAACGCCGCGUGCAGGACGAAGGCCUUCGGGUUGUAAACUGCUUUUAUAAGUGAGGAAUAUGACGGUAACUUAUGAAUAAGGAUCGGCUAACUACGUG
rnacentral:rRNA from 1 species